CAUAUCAAUAAGCGGAGGAAAAGAAACCAACAGGGAUUGCCCUAGUAACGGCGAGUGAAGCGGCAACAGCUCAAAUUUGAAAUCUGGCUCUUUUAGAGUCCGAGUUGUAAUUUGCAGAGGGCGCUUUGGCUUUGGCAGCGGUCCAAGUUCCUUGGAACAGGACGUCACAGAGGGUGAGAAUCCCGUACGUGGUCGCUGGCUAUUGCCGUGUAAAGCCCCUUCGACGAGUCGAGUUGUUUGGGAAUGCAGCUCUAAAUGGGAGGUACAUUUCUUCUAAAGCUAAAUAUUGGCCAGAGACCGAUAGCGCACAAGUAGAGUGAUCGAAAGAUGAAAAGCACUUUGGAAAGAGAGUCAAACAGCACGUGAAAUUGUUGAAAGGGAAGCGCUUGCAGCCAGACUUGCUUGCAGUUGCUCAUCCGGGCUUUUGCCCGGUGCACUCUUCUGUAGGCAGGCCAGCAUCAGUUCGGGCGGUAGGAUAAAGGUCUCUGUCACGUACCUCCUUUCGGGGAGGCCUUAUAGGGGAGACGACAUACUACCAGCCUGGACUGAGGUCCGCGCAUCUGCUAGGAUGCUGGCGUAAUGGCUGUAAGCGGCCCGUCUUGAAACACGGACCAAGGAGUCUAACAUCUAUGCGAGUGUUUGGGUGUCAAGCCCGAGCGCGUAAUGAAAGUGAACGGAGGUGGGAACCCGCAAGGGUGCACCAUCGACCGAUCCUGAUGUCUUCGGAAGGAUUUGAGUAAGAGCAUGGCUGUUGGGACCCGAAAGAUGGUGAACUAUGCUUGAAUAGGGUGAAGCCAGAGGAAACUCUGGUGGAGGCUCGCAGCGGUUCUGACGUGCAAAUCGAUCGUCAAAUUUGGGCAUAGGGGCGAAAGACUAAUCGAACUAUCUAGUAGCUGGUUCCUGCG
rnacentral:rRNA from 1 species